AUUGAACGCUGGCGGAAUGCUUUACACAUGCAAGUCGAACGGCAGCACGGGGGCAACCCUGGUGGCGAGUGGCGAACGGGUGAGUAAUACAUCGGAACGUGCCCGGUCGUGGGGGAUAACGUAGCGAAAGUUACGCUAAUACCGCAUACGAUCUGAGGAUGAAAGCGGGGGACCUUCGGGCCUCGCGCGAUCGGAGCGGCCGAUGUCAGAUUAGGUAGUUGGUGGGGUAAAGGCCUACCAAGCCGACGAUCUGUAGCUGGUCUGAGAGGACGACCAGCCACACUGGAACUGAGACACGGCCCAGACUCCUACGGGAGGCAGCAGUGGGGAAUUUUGGACAAUGGGCGCAAGCCUGAUCCAGCCAUUCCGCGUGCAGGACGAAGGCCUUCGGGUUGUAAACUGCUUUUGUAUGGAACGAAAAGGCUCUGGCUAAUACCUGGGGCUCAUGACGGUACCGUAAGAAUAAGCACCGGCUAACUACGUG
rnacentral:rRNA from 1 species